CGGACGGGUGAGUAAUGUAUAGGAACUUGCCUAAUAGUGGGGGACAACGUGUGGAAACGCACGCUAAUACCGCAUACGCUCUACGGAGGAAAGCGGGGGAUCUUCGGACCUCGUGCAUUAGAUAGGCCUAUAUUGGAUUAGCUAGUUGGUAAGGUAAAGGCUUACCAAGGCGACGAUCCAUAGCUGGUUUGAGAGAAUGAUCAGCCACACUGGACUGAGACACGGCCCAG
rnacentral:rRNA from 1 species